UGGGGGAUAUUGCACAAUGGGCGAAAGCCUGAUGCAGCGACGCCGCGUGGGGGAUGAAGGCCUUCGGGUUGUAAACUUCUUUUGCUCUGAACAAGGCAUGCUAAUGGGUGUGUUGAGUGUAGGGGUUGAUUAGCGCCGGCUAACUACGUGCCAGCAGCCGCGGUAAUACGUAGGGCGCGAGCGUUGUCCGGAAUUAUUGGGCGUAAAGGGCUUGUAGGUGGCUGGUUGCGUCUGUCGUGAAAGCUCAUGGCUUAACUGUGGGUUUGCGGGGGGUACGGGGUUGCUUGAGGGCCGUAGGGGAGGCUGGAAUUCCUGGUGUAGCGGUGGAAUGCGCAGAUAUCAGGAGGAAUACCGGUGGCGAAGGCGGGUCUCUGGGCUGUUACUGACACUGAGGAGCGAAAGCAUGGGGAGCGAACAGG
rnacentral:rRNA from 1 species